rnacentral:rRNA from 1 species
AUGGUCAUGCUUGCAGUACUGAUAAGGCAUGCUUCAAAAAUGGAGGGAGGACCUGAGCUGCCGCCUUGGUUCCUGUCCGCACCAGCCGCCACAGUACAUGACACUAUUGUGUUGUCUGCAGAGGUUCUCAUUCUGAAAGAAACUGCAACUAUGCAAGAGCUUAUUGACGGAGAUUAUGAAAUUUGCAGUUCAAGUUCUGGACAUCAGAUUGAUACUUUACCAAAGGUGCACCAAUCGGCCCUCCGUCUCCUAGGGUGA